GAUGAACGCUGGCGGCGUGCCUAAUACAUGCAGGUCGAACGCUGGAAAUCUAGCUUGCUAGAUUGAAGGAGUGGCGAACGGGUGAGUAAUACAUAAGCAACCUACCCACGAAGACUGGGAUAAUCUCUGGAAACGGGGACUAAUACCGGAUAGGUAAUCGGAAGGCAUCUUCUGAUUAUUAAAGGUUAAAAACACUGGUGGAUGGGCUUAUGGCGCAUUAGUUAGUUGGUGAGGUAACGGCCCACCAAGACGAUGAUGCGUAGCCGGCCUGAGAGGGUGAACGGCCACAUUGGGACUGAGACACGGCCCAGACUCCUACGGGAGGCAGCAGUAGGGAAGUUUCGGCAAUGGGGGAAACCCUGACCGAGCAACGCCGCGUGAGUGAUGACGGCCUUCGGGUUGUAAAGCUCUGUUGUAAGAGAAGAACGGUAGAUAGAGAAUAUCUAAAUGACGGUACCUUACCAGAAAGCCACGGCUAACUACGUG
rnacentral:rRNA from 1 species